rnacentral:rRNA from 1 species
AGUAAUGCAUAGGAAUCUGCCCGAUAGUGGGGGAUAACCUGGGGAAACCCAGGCUAAUACCGCAUACGUCCUACGGGAGAAAGGGGGCUCCGGCUCCCGCUAUGGGAUGAGCCUAUGUCGGAUUAGCUAGUUGGUGAGGUAACGGCUCACCAAGGCCACGAUCCGUAGCUGGUCUGAGAGGAUGAUCAGCCACAUCGGGACUGAGACACGGCCCGAACUCCUACGGGAGGCAGCAGUGGGGAAUAUUGGACAAUGGGGGCAACCCUGAUCCAGCCAUGCCGCGUGUGUGAAGAAGGCCCUCGGGUUGUAAAGCACUUUCAGCGAGGAAGAACGCCUAGCGGUUAAUACCCGCUAGGAAAGACAUCACUCGCAGAAGAAGCACCGGCUAACUCCGUGCCAGCAGCCGCGGUAAUACGGAGGGUGCAAGCGUUAAUCGGAAUUACUGGGCGUAAAGCGCGCGUAGGUGGCUUGAUAAGCCGGUUGUGAAAGCCCCGGGCUCAACCUGGGAACGGCAUCCGGAACUGUCAAGCUAGAGUGCAGGAGAGGAAGGUAGAAUUCCCGGUGUAGCGGUGAAAUGCGUAGAGAUCGGGAGGAAUACCAGUGGCGAAGGCGGCCUUCUGGACUGACACUGACACUGAGGUGCGAAAGCGUG